ensembl:lncRNA
AGACACUGUUCUGGAUAAGCAGCUGUUGUGUUACUUUGCUUCAGUGAGUUUUAUCAUUUAAACUUAAGAUCUAGGCUGUAUCUGUCAACAGUCUGUGACUUCCCAAAGGCUUUGUGCAGUCCUGCUGCUGCUCAUAGACUUGGAACCAUUUCAGAGCAGGCGAGGUGCAAUUACUGUGGAUGGUUUCUACUCUGGUGUACUGGAGGUGGUUGCUGUUUACAGUUGCAGUUCGAAGGAAAUCUUGCUCCUGUAGAUUUCAGGGCUGUCAGGAAGGAUGAGGAGGCAGUCAUUGACAAAAUCAGUUAUAUUCAGAAGGCAACUAUGCCAGAAGGUGUCAACCACACUGGAAUGCAGUGGAAGAAAAGGAGCUAAUAAUUAUAAGCACUCUCAUUAUUUAGAAAGUACACUACUCAAAAUGAAUUCAGCUUUCUGAUGACAAGUGAUUUCUCUCACCCCAAGGAGCAUUUCAAAGCAUCCACACAACCAUCUGCAUGAACCCCAGGAGGCGAAGGUAUGGGACCCUCCUUCCAGCUGUGGUGCAGUGAUCCAUCUGUCUGAGCACAUUUCCAUUUAUCCUCCAGGAAGAGAAUGCGCCACCCUCAGGCCUCCCUGAACUGUGAUUUCAGCUGCAAGAGACAGAACAAGGACUGAACAGGGAACUGGGUGAAAUAAAGUCAAUCUAAAUUUGUGGGUUAAUACCUGCAAGGCAUGCCAAUAUUGAUGUGCCGGACAGCCCUUUCCAUCAAAGUGCAGAAUGUGGAUCUGUGAAAGGAGUACAGAGAGCUGCAGAAAAAUCUGAGCUCAGAAACCUGGUGAUACUUCCAGUGGAAAGAUUUCCUUCCCUCCAGCUUCAGAACAGACAGCUUCAGGGACACCUGAAUAUCAGUGGCAGGUUCUGUGAGCACUUGUAAGCCUGAGCUGAUGUCUGAAGGCAGAACUGAAGUUAGGGUUCCCGAUACCUUUCUAGUAGGAAGUUCUGAAUCUGAAAGAUACAGUGGCUUCAGAUCCUACUGCAGAACUGGUCCUCUGUGCACCACAGCAGAUUCAGUGCGAAGUGAAUUACAACAAUGUUUAUCUGAUUUUCAG